CAGUAGCCACGGUACUACGUAGGGUGCGAGCGUUGUCCGGAAUUAUUGGGCGUAAAGGGCUCGCAGGCGGUUUCUUAAGUCUGAUGUGAAAGCCCCCGGCUCAACCGGGGAGGGUCAUUGGAAACUGGGAAACUUGAGUGCAGAAGAGGAGAGUGGAAUUCCACGUGUAGCGGUGAAAUGCGUAGAGAUGUGGAGGAACACCAGUGGCGAAGGCGACUCUCUGGUCUGUAACUGACGCUGAGGAGCGAAAGCGUGGGGAGCGAACAGGAUUAGAUACCCGUGUAGUCCCUGUCUCUUAUAC
rnacentral:rRNA from 1 species